CGGCGGACGGGUGAGUAACACGUGGACAAUCUGCCCCCCGGCCCGGGAUAGCCCAGGGAAACCUGGAUUAAUACCGGAUGAGACGGGACCCGCGAUGGCGGGAUCCGGGAAAGGCGCUGCGGCGCCGCCGGGGGAUGAGUCUGCGUCCCAUUAGCUAGACGGCGGGGUAACGGCCCACCGUGGCGACGAUGGGUAGCCGGCCUGAGAGGGUGGACGGCCACAUUGGAACUGAGACACGGUCCAGACUCCUACGGGAGGCAGCAGCUAAGAAUCUUCCGCAAUGGGCGAAAGCCUGACGGAGCGAACCGCCGCGUGAACGAAGAAGGCCGUGAGGUUGUAAAGUUCUUUUCGGGAGGGGGAACAACCGUGGCAGGGAAUGGCCGCGGGAUGACGUGAAUCCCGGAAUAAGCCCCGGCUAACUACGUGCCAGCCGCCGC
rnacentral:rRNA from 1 species